CAGUCGCCACGGUAAUACGUAGGGUGCAAGCGUUAAUCGGAAUUACUGGGCGUAAAGCGUGCGCAGGCGGUUAUAUAAGACAGAUGUGAAAUCCCCGGGCUCAACCUGGGAACUGCAUUUGUGACUGUAUAGCUAGAGUACGGCAGAGGGGGAUGGAAUUCCGCGUGUAGCAGUGAAAUGCGUAGAUAUGCGGAGGAACACCGAUGGCGAAGGCAAUCCCCUGGGCCUGUACUGACGCUCAUGCACGAAAGCGUGGGGAGCAAACAGGAUUAGAGACCCCUGUAGUCCCUGUCUCUUAUAA
rnacentral:rRNA from 1 species